rnacentral:lncRNA from 1 species
UUUGAGUGAGGAAUUAUGUUGUUCUAUUAUGCCCCGAGAGUGUAAAUUUAGAACGAAUCGAUGUCAACGUUCACUAGAACCAAAACCAGAACAAUGUUAGACUACUCAGUUGCGCCAUAACAGUAUAACUUAGCAACGAGUACUUUUUCUCAUUCUAUCGGACAAGGAUUAAAACUUUCUACUAUGCCCCGAGAGUGUAAAUUUGGAACUAAUCGAUGACAACGUUCACAAGAACCAAAACCGGAACAAAGUUAGACUACUCAGUUGAGCCCUAACAGUAUAACUUUACAACUAGUACUUUUUCUCAUUCAAUCGAACAACGAGCAAAACCUAAUUAUAUUGUUCUAUUAUGCCCCGAGAGUGUAAAUUUGGAACGAAUCGAUGUCAACGUUCACAAGAACCAAAACGGAACAAAGUUAGACUACUCUAGUUGAGCCCUAACAGUAAGACAUUUGAACUAGUACUUUUAUUCUCAUUCAAUCGAACAACGAGCGAAAACCUAAUAUAUUGUCCAUAUAUGCCCCGAAGUGUAAAUUUGGAGCGAAUCGAUGUCAAAACUGUUCACAAAGAACCUCAAACGGAAUCAAAGUUCAGACAUACCAUGUUGAGCCCUACAGUCUAACUUUGCUAAUGUACUUUUCUCAAUUCAAUCGAAACAAAAGAGCAAAAACCUAAUUAUAUUGCUAGUCUAUAUGCUCGAAGUUGGUAAUUAUGAACCGAGAAUCGAUGUCAACGUUCACAAAACCAAACACGAACUAAUAUUAGACUACAGUCGUGGGCCCUUACAGUCUAACUUUGCAUACAUAUCUUUUCUCACAUUCAUAUCGACCAAGUAGAAAGCUAAUUUUUCUAAUUUUCCUGAUGGUUUUUAGAAUGAUGUCACGUUUCCAGCAAACUUUAUACUAGUUGUGCUCUGUAUUUUGCAGAUUUUUGUUUUAUUUCUGGCGAUAAUAGUAGCUUUCUAUUAUGGCCCGAGAGUUAAAUUUGGUACUAAUCAUGUAAAACGUUCACAGGACAAAUACCGGACAAAGUUAGACUAACUCAGUUGAGCCCUAAGCAGUACUAACAUUGCAACUAGUAAUCUUUCUCACUUCAAUCGAAAAAAGGCACAAAACCUAAUUAUGUUGGUUCUAUUAUGCGCGAUAGUAAAUUUGAACGAAUCGAUGUCAACUGUUCACACGUAGAGACACAAACGAGAACAAUGUAGACUACUCACUGUGAGCCUAACAGCAUACAAUUGUCCAACUAGUAUCUUUUCUCAUUCACAAUGCGACACAAAAGCAAAACCGAAUUAUAUUGUCUAUUAUGCCUCGAGAGUGUUAAAUUUUGGAACGAAUCGAUUCAACGUUCAAGACCAACCAAAACGGAACAACAUUAGACUACUCAGUUGCGCCAACUAAUAGUAAUAACUAGCACGAGUACUUUUUCUCAUCUAUCGGAAAAGAGUAAAACUUUCCUAGUAUGUCCACGAGAUGUAAAUUGGAACUAAUUCGAUGUCAACGUUCACAGAACGCAAACGGAACAGAAGUUAGACUACCAUUAAUCCCUACAGUAUAACUUUGGCAACUAGCACUUUUUUCUCAAUUCAAAUGCGAACAAAGAGCAAAACCAAUUAUAUUGUUUCUUUAUGCCCGAGAGUGUAACAUUGGAACGAAUCGAUGUCAACUUCACAAGAACCAGAAUCCGGAAUAAAGUUGAACACUCAGUUGAUCCCUAACAGUCUAACUUUGCUAAUAGUAUUUUUCUCACUUCAAUCGAACUAAACCAAAACUAAUAAUAUGUUCUAAUAUGCCGCCGAAGUGAAAUUGGUAACCAUCAAAUGUCAGACGUUCACAAGAACCAAAACCGGCAUAAAGUUAGACUACUGCAGUUGAGCACUAACAAGUAUAACUUUGCAAUAGCUAUCUUCUCAUUCAAACGACACAAAGCAAAAACCAAAUAAUUGUUCUAAUAUAUCCCGAGAGUGUAAAUUUGGAACGAAUCGAUGUCAACGUUCACACAAACCAAAACCGAGGAAAGCACAUUAGCACUACUCCAGUUUGCGCCACUAACUAUAUAACUUUCAACGAAUACUUUUUCGUUCUAUCGAACAGGAGUAAAAGCUUCUAGUUAUGCCCCGAGAGUGUAAAUUGGGUACCAAUGCGAUGUAAACGUCACAAGGACCCAACCGGAACAUGAUGUUAGACGUACUCAGUUGAGCCCUUAAACAGUAUAACUUGCAACUAGUACUUUUUCUCAAUUCAAUCGAAGCAAAGAGCAAAACCUAAUUAUAAUGUCUCUAUAGCCCCAAGAGUGUAAAUUUGGAAACGAAGAGAUGUCAAACGUUUACAAGAACCAAAACCGGAAUCAAAGUUAAACUACUCAUUGUAGCCCUGAAACAGUAAAACAUUGCAACUAAGUACAUUUUCCUCAUUCAAUCGAACAAUGACAAAACGGCUAAAUUAUUUGUUCUAUUAUGUCCCCGAGGAGCUGUAAAUUUAGAACGUAAUCGAUGUCAACAGUCACAUAGAACAAAACGAGAACAAUGUUAGAACUACUCAGUUGACACUAACAGCAUAACAUUGCAAACUCAGUACUUUUCUCAAUUACAUCGACAAAGAGCAAAAAUGCUAUUUAAGGUUGUUUCUAUUUAUCUCGAGAGUGUAAAUUUGGAACGAAUCGAUGUCAACGUUCAAGACAACCAAAAACCGGAACAAACUUAACUACUCAGUUGCGCCAUAAUAGUAUAACUUAGCCACGAUGUAGCUUUUUCUCAAUGUCUAAGUCGAAAAAAGAGUAAAACUUUCUAUUAUGCCCUCUGAGUGCUAAAUUUGGAAACUAAUCGAUCUGUCAACUGUUCACCAAAACCAAAACCGAAACAAAGAUCCAGACUCAGUUGAGCCCGUAAUAAGUAUAAGCUUUGGCAACUACAUUCUUUUCUCCAUUCAAUCAGAACUAAAGAGCAAAACCUAAUUCUAUUGUGUCUAUUAUCCCAAGUGUAAAUUUGAACGAAUCGAUGUUAACGUUCACAAAGAACCAAACCGGGAAUAAAGUUAGACUACUCAGUUUGAUCCCUAACAGUAAAGCUUUGCAACAUAGCACUUUCUCAUUACAAUCGAAACAAAGGCAAAACCUAAUAUAAUUGGUCUAUUAUGCCCCGAGAGUGUAAAUUUGGAACGAAUCGAUGUCAACUUCAUAAGACCAAACCGGAAUAAAGUUAAACUACUCAGUUGAGCCCUUACAGCUCUAACUUUGCUACUAAGUACUCUUUCUACAUCUCAAUCGACACAAAGGAGCAAAACCUAAUUAUAUUUUCUAUUAUGCCACUCGAGAGCUGUAAAUGAUUCGAUCGAAACCUUUCUCAUCAAAUCGAACAAAGAGAAAACGCAAAUUAUAAUUUGUCUCAUUAUGCCCCGAAGUGUAAAUUUCGAUCGAGAUCAAUGUCAACGUUCACAAAACAAAACCGGAAUAAAGUUAAACUACCAGUUGAGCCCUAACAAUAUAAACUUUGGCACAGCAACAUUUUCUCAUUCAAAUCGAACAAAGAGCAAAACCUAAUUAUAUUGUUCUAUUAUGCCCCGAGAGUGUAAAUUGGGAACGAAUCGAUGUCAACGUUCACAAGAACCAAUACCGGAAUAAAGUUAGACUACUCAGCUGAGCCCUAACAGUAUAACUUUGCAACAAGUACUUUUUCUCGUUCAAUCGAACAAAGUGUAAAACCGAAUUAUAUUGUUCUAUUAUAUCCUGAGAGUGUAAAUUUAGAACAAAUCGAUGUCAACGUUCACAUUCUAUCGAAUAAAGAGUAAAACCUAAUUAUAUUGUUCUCUUAUGCCCCGAGAGUGUAAAGUUGCAACGAAUCGAUGUCAAUGUUCAUAAGAACCAAAACCGGAAUAAAGUUAGACUACUCAGUUGAGCCCUAACAGUA